AAAAACUCAAUAUCGUUGAUUCGAUCCAACAUCAAACGAAUCGGACUAACAAAGUUGUUUGUCGGACGAGUUUUUCUGUUCGCAGGAGAAGACUUGUUGACAGAACCCACCGCUGAAUUGUCAAAGAAACGUCUAAUUGAUUGCCUAAUAAAUCAAUCAGGCCACCCUGCAUUCGUUUACCGUGUGACCCGUCUGCAGUCUGUCAAUAUUCAGACACACCACUAACAAAACAGAAGACGCUUUUUUGGGCUUGUUCAGUUUUAUUAGCCUGUGCCAGUACUAUCGUAAGAGGCAAUAUUUGAGAAGCGUUCCAGCAGAUUUGAAAUAAUGGAAAUACCUAUGUGGUCACAGGUCAAGGCGGCGAAUGGUGGAGGAACAGUUUCCAGUAACCCAGAGGAAAGCGAUGACGAACCGGACUUCACCAAUCACAGUUAUGAUCAACAAUGUUACGAACCGUCAGACGUUGGUACCGAUGGCCCCGGAGAUGAUCAGUUAGAUAGUGUUCCUCUAGGUAGAACCUACAAGCCUCAGGAUCUCUACCCGAUGGCAAAUUCGCAUGGUGCAACAACCUGGCCGCUCGAGUCCUACCACCCGGUGUACGUCGGAAACUUUAAAAUGCUUUCCUUGGAGGAGGAGGCAUGGUACGAGCAGGUUUCUACCUACUUUGCCUACAAAGGGUUGUUAACAAGGAUGGUCUACUUCCAUCAGCUUGAGAAAAAAUUGUUUUCCCAGUUUCAGAGGAACCACGCUUUGCUUGAUAUGCUUGUUUAUUUUACCUCAAAACGAGAUGCGGAUAAAGCGAUUAAACUUUGCCAUAGAGACUCGUACUACGGACACAAGUUGAAUGUGCUCCCAGGGCGCAGGCCGGUUUAUUUCGAUAGUCAAAAAAGCGUUUUACUGUUCAAGAAAUACAACGGAAGGUUUUGUAAAUCAGAAACAUUCGUCGAGCAAGAUUUGUCUACUUUUGGUCAAGUAAAGUUUAUAAUGAAAGACUCUCUGGAUAGAACGUUGGUUGAGUUUGUUUCUAAGCAAUCAAUGUUAGCGGCUGUUUCCACACAGUCUACGUUCGAGCCAAGUGUAAUCGAGGGGAAUGUUAUGAAACAGCGAUUCAUUGAACAGGACGUCAAAUUAGGCAUUGAAUGGACACUACAAUCGAAUCCUUCCUUCAUGGAAAUGAAGCCCAGGCGAAUAAUACUCCAGUAUCUUUACGAAGGAAAACGGCCUUUGGUAGACACGUCAUGGAUGAAUAAUAAAUCACCUAUGCCUUGUGAACUAGCUGCGACUAAUCGUCGAAAGUGGAGACAAAGAAACCGAAUAUUGAUAGGCAGGUACAUAGCGAAAAAACAAGCCAAAGAUAACAAAACAAAGGCAGAGGUCUUCGAAAACCCGGAGAAAAUUGGAUCAAACGCUUCUUCAGUUGAUCCACCUGCAGAAAAGCCUGUUGUGAAGCAAAAAUCAUCAAAGCAAAAACGGGCGGAGACGUUACAACUGGUUAACAAUUUCAUGCGCAAGCACGGAAUGCCACCAAAGUCAAUGACGGAAAUUAAUAAGCAAUGGGAAAAGGCGAAGCUCAAAAAGUCGGGCGGGAAAGCGAAGAGUGAAUGAAAUUAGAACGAUAACGACCGAGUGAUACUUUUAUUACAGAUAUUUCACAUGUAUACUUAAAUAAAACUGUUGUGAAUUGCAUUGGAAUUUCCGCAAAUCAUAAUAAUUGCAUUUUCUCCGUAAGAAUUAGUGUUCUCUUAUUUUCAUCCAACGUCGUACCCAGUCUAACUUGCCGUCUUAAAAAUCCAGAUGAAAAUAUUUUUAAUUUGACAAAAGAACUAAAGCGGUUUAGCUUAGCUUAGCUUAGUUGACCGCCCGUGAUUGAUCAAAGCCUGUUGAAAUUGCAUAUUGAACCAAUUGUAUGAUACUUGGGAGUAGUUUAUCAUACUCAACGUGCAACCUAAAGAGACUAAGAUUACAAGUAUGAUCAAUAACGUAGAUGGCCACGCCCAUGCAGGUCAAUUUUGGGAUGGGAAGGAAUGUUAGUUCAACACUUGUGACUAUUAUGACCGAGGAAUUCUCUGCAUCAUCCACAAGUGUCACAGGAUAGGAUUGGUGUUAGUAGAUCAAAGUUUUCAGGUACCUUCAGUAGAAAUAUGAAUCCAUUCAAAUAAGCAUUUUAAACAUUAUUCUUCCGUGCGGCGUAAUGAGAGGAUAAAGCAGCGUGGAAUGUGAUAGAGGUCUAUUCAUCUAUAGACAAUAUGAUCUUAGCAAUAUGUACGAAGUCGCUCGCGAUCAAUUUCCGAGAAUUCGAAACGAACAAUUUGAACUCCGAACAGCCGGCCAUCGGGAGUAAUGCUUCUUAUUAACACUUCAAUAAUCAUUUUAUGGAAUGUUCUGGAUGAAGAAUUCGGUA